rnacentral:rRNA from 1 species
AUUGAACGCUGGCGGCAUGCCUUACACAUGCAAGUCGAAUGGUAACGGGCCUUCGGGUGCCGACGAGUGGCGAACGGGUGAGUAAGGUAUCGGAACGUACCUUUCAGUGGGGGAUAACGUAGCGAAAGUUACGCUAAUACCGCAUAUUCUGUGAGCAGGAAAGAGGGGGAACGCAAGACCUUGCGCUGAUUGAGCGGCCGAUAUCAGAUUAGCUAGUUGGUGAGGUAAAGGCUCGCCAAGGCGACGAUCUGUAGCGGGUCUGAGAGGAUGAUCCGCCACACUGGAACUGAGACACGGUCCAGACUCCUACGGGAGGCAGCAGUGGGGAAUUUUGGACAAUGGGGGCAACCCUGAUCCAGCCAUGCCGCGUGAGUGAAGAAUGCCUUCGGGUUGUAAAGCUCUUUCGGCCGGGAAGAAAUCGUAUGGGUUAAUACCCUGUGCGGAUGACGGUACCGGCAUAAGAAGCACCGGCUAACUACGUGCCAGCCGCCGCCGUAAGAC